rnacentral:rRNA from 1 species
AUUGAACGCUGGCGGCAUGCCUUACACAUGCAAGUCGAACGGCAGCACGGGUGCUUGCACCUGGUGGCGAGUGGCGAACGGGUGAGUAAUACAUCGGAACAUGUCCUGUAGUGGGGGAUAGCCCGGCGAAAGCCGGAUUAAUACCGCAUACGAUCCACGGAUGAAAGCGGGGGACCUUCGGGCCUCGCGCUAUAGGGUUGGCCGAUGGCUGAUUAGCUAGUUGGUGGGGUAAAGGCCUACCAAGGCGACGAUCAGUAGCUGGUCUGAGAGGACGACCAGCCACACUGGGACUGAGACACGGCCCAGACUCCUACGGGAGGCAGCAGUGGGGAAUUUUGGACAAUGGGCGAAAGUCUGAUCCAGCAAUGCCGCGUGUGUGAAGAAGGCCUUCGGGUUGUAAAGCACUUUUGUCCGGAAAGAAAUCCUUGACUCUAAUACAGUCGGGGGAUGACGGUACCGGAAGAAUAAGCACCGGCUAACUACGUG